rnacentral:rRNA from 1 species
CAGUAGCCACGGUAAUACGGAGGGGGCUAGCGUUGUUCGGAAUUACUGGGCGUAAAGCGCACGUAGGCGGCUUUGUAAGUCAGAGGUGAAAGCCCGGGGCUCAACCCCGGAAUUGCCUUUGAGACUGCAUCGCUUGAAUCCAGGAGAGGUGAGUGGAAUUCCGAGUGUAGAGGUGAAAUUCGUAGAUAUUCGGAAGAACACCAGUGGCGAAGGCGGCUCACUGGACUGGUAUUGACGCUGAGGUGCGAAAGCGUGGGGAGCAAACAGGAUUAGAUACCCCAGUAGUCCCUGUCUCUUAUAA